UUGUGAGGAAACUCCUUGGUUUAAUGCAAUUUGUGUUUUUGUUAACUAGCAGCAGAAUUUCAGCAUUUGCUACUUACUGGUAGAGAAGAAAAAUCCCACAGCACUGCCAGUACAGGUUAGUUUAAUCUGUAAGUACCUGAUGUUCCUAUUUGAAAUACUCUGUUCAAAUGAUGCCGUUGAAAUACGUGAGGAGGGGAAUUCUGGUUUCUGGUAUGUGAAUGUGUCCUUACUGUUUACUACUGUUUUCAGUAGUGAAGAAACUUUUUCCCAUAAUAAUCUGCAAUGACUUUAACCACACCUGUGGAUUGGCAAUAUUUGCAGUCCCUUUUAAACGAGAUUUUAUGUAGAACUCUAUGAGAAAAGGCAGUCUGCUUUUACUGAAAAACAUAAAGACCUUUGAAAUUGAAGAUAGUUCUUAAGUAACAUGGUGACUACAAAAGAGGUAAUGUUUUAGCAGUAAGCCAACUGUAGGAUAUUAUAUUCAUAGUCUGGCACAGAAAAGAAUGCUAUUGGUAACAACCUGUAGCAGUAAGUUUUCUAGAUAUUUUAAAUUACUACCUCCUACCAGUACAUUUCUGCACCAUCAGGUAUGUUUUCAGGGAAAACAGUCGUGACUUUAAGUCCAUUUCAAUACAUUAUAGGCUGCCUACAAACGUAUUGGGUUUUUGAGCUGUUCUAUCUUAUUCCAGCUCAUUUUUUUCUUCCUUUGUCCACUCAGUAUUUCUAGAAGUUCUUUUUAUUUUCAUUGUCUUCAGAGCAUUUUACUUAAAGUAAGAGAGAGAAGAUUCUUCGUGGUUCUCUGUGAUUGGAUAAAUACAAGACCUGCCUCCAUUAAUCAUUUAUUUAGAGUGCCUCACCUCUACAGUGUGGGAGGUGGAAAUUGAUUGUAUGUCUUUGCUCUGAUACAUGGCCUGAUGAUAAGCUGUGAAACUUUCUGUACCUUAAUUCACUCCUCAAGGAUACCUCAUCACCCAGUGAAUUUGAGGGACUUUUGGAAUUGGUGGUGGGUAAGUGUGUGCAGACGAGCAGCUGUUAGUGGGGCGCCUGCGUGGGGCACCCUGCCUGGCACCUCAACACGCUGGAGUAGAUUCGUUAGUGACCCCAUAGGCUUGGUGCUUCCAGCAGUGUAAGUGGUUUCAGAGUUUUGAAUUCUUACACAACUUUGCAGAAUCCUUCAUACUGGUCUGUGAGUGCAUGAUCAAAAGAAACAUACCUUACAGCUUUUAGAAUAGUUAAAAGCAACAAUAGUUGCAUUAGUUUGUAUUUCCUGGCAUCUUCUCUACAUCAGUUCUGGGGCAUCUACGCUAACCUCUUCUGUCUACAGGAGUAGUUACAUGCAGAUCUGAAUAACGUUAAGUGGAUGUUUCUUCCUAGAAGAAACAACUGAUGCAACCUUGCAUAACAAAUUCUAUAACUGAUCUGUUCUCUGCAUCUCCUAAAUACUAAAUGCAGAUGUGCGUGACUAAAUGGAUUUAUUUGCUCUGAGACCAUUAUCUCUAAUAGAGCGUUUGCAUCUCUCUGUUGACCACUGAGGCUGACGCUUAACACUGUAAGUGGCUCCAGCCUCAGCUGCCGAGUUAACCUGGGGACAUCUCGGCUCCGGCAGUGACCGCUGACCUGCUGAACUUGCUCCCCAGCUUGCAAUGAAUGGGAGUAACUAAAAGGUGGUGUUCUGUGGUGUCUCCUUGCCAAACCACAGCUCCGUGGGGUGCUCUGACCUGAGCUUUGGUAGCGGGUCCUCUUUUUCUGGAACAUUACGGUGAUGAAUUAUAGCACUUGCUGGUAGAAGGAAGCUUACUUCUCUUUGAGUUUGUACUGCAGAGAAUUUUCCCAGCUGGUGUUAACCUGUCGAUCAGCUGUUGGUCCUGUGUUACAGCUGCUGCCCAUGGUGCACCUGGGGAGUCUGUCCCCGCAGUGACAUGGGCAGGGAGAGGGCAGAGGCUUCACGCUGCCUCCUUCACACUUGGCCUCAAAGGUCCCUAUCUCUCACCAGAGGCUCCCCUUGCAGCAGUCAGUCAAGGCUCUGCGGUUUUUGAUUGUAUUUUAAGGUUUUGAAAGAGGCGUGACCAGACUAUGGCCCCACUCAGUGUCAGUACAACCAGGAAAGACUGUGUGCUGAUAAUCUAUUUUUUUAACAUAACUUCAUCUUGUUUUUAUGGAAGUAGUAUGGAAGGGAUUUGAUCACUGAUCUUUUUCAAAAGGCAGGUGGGAAAUACUGGUAAGUUAAUUCCACAGAGUGAGAGACUGGUAAGUAAAUGCAUCACUUCAAUGCAUGCAAAUAAGUGUAACAGUAACUGUGGCUUAAUUUUAUAGCAUUCGGUUUAUAAGGAAGACUUGAAAAAAAUACGGCGCUAACAUGAUUUGCAUCUGUUGGACCUUCUCUGAGCCUCUGUCUACCUCUUUGUAGCAGUCUCUGAUUAAACACCAGUGAAACACUGUUUCUGUGUAUUUUUUCCCCUCCUUGAGGACCUAUAUAAGAUGCUGAAGCAGCUAACAAAUAAACUGCAGUAAGUAUUUAAUUACCCUUCGGUGUUUCAGUUUAAAUAACUUGUACUGGUUCUCUUUCUUAUAAACUGUGUAAGAAGUGAUUUGUAUGAGCUUUACUCUCUGGAUUUUCAAUCUUGGUGAUUUUCUUUCCUCUGUUAGUCUUCUCUCCUGAACUGACUGUACAAAAAGUGUAGUUAUUUAGGUUAAAGGGUCUGGGACUGUGGGAAGAGGUAGUAUGAAAACACCACUCGAUACUUAGUAGAGGAGGAUUAAAUCUUUCAGAGCAAAACUGGAGAGAGGAUGGGCUAGCUUCAUCUUGGAACCAGCGCUUGGCACUGAGCAGUGAGGAUUUCAACUUCCAAGGGUGAGAAAAGGUAUUAGCUGUGCCCAGAUCGUGACCGAAGGAAAGCAAAUCAGUCCCUUUUUGUUGUUAGAGCUAUACGUACAGGUAGGAUAAUUCAGCUUGUGUAGAAACUUCAGUUCUACCUGAAUGUUACUCACACUUGGCAAACAAGGCAAUCCUGCAAUGCUGACAGGCUUUUUAUUCCUGAAAGCUUAAUCUGAAAUGGUUGCAGCCAUGGUACUGACCAGAAUUCAUUUUCCAAGUUAGUAAAUCAGAUUAGGUGGAGUGAGAGCGCUUUCAAGAACGGGUAUGUACACAAGACAUGUCUCUAAGCUGUGGCCCAUGGCCCAUGUUUGGAGGUAAUGCUCCGAAACAUCUUUCCUAGUAUUGGAGUUGUUGUAUUGGACUGAGUUGUGUUAGUGUUUUAUAAGCUUCGGUGGCAGUGUAACUGCCUAGUUUCACCCCUCUCCACAUAAAGAUAUAUCUAGUAGGGUACAUAGUAUUUAUAGGGAGAAACCGAACAAGUAUGAUACCAAACUGAAGUUGGAGAGCAGGGACGAGGGGUUGCUUUUAAAUUUUUUAAAUUAUCACUGGUAAGUGCAAAGCCACUUAACUGCUUCCUCUCUGCUGCUGUGCGAGGUGGCCUCGUGGUUGAGCAGGAUGGGGGCUGGUACAGGCGGCAUGGUGCCGUUGGCAGGGAGCUCUGCGCUGCCUGCUUGUUCCAGUGGGGCACUGAACUGCUCCCAAUGGAAAUGCAGCCUUGACAGGUACUUUGGGGGUUGGUCCUUUGGAGCAGGCCAGAUUGUCCCUGUUCAUCUCCUGCUGUAUUUGCUCACUCCAGGCCAGCCGGGCACUGAAGGAGGGUAAGGGCCUGUGUCCCCCCGCAGUGGUCGCUGUCACUGUGGGCAGAGCCGCCUCUCACAUGGCCACAAGGUGAGUGGUGGUCAUGGCCACACAGGCGCCCACAGGGAAGGCUCAAGGCCCUCGGGGCAGCAAACAGCCACUCACCCAGGCCGGGCAGAUACGGGGGAGCUUGGGCUUCUCCCCUUCACCAUCCUGCUCCAAGAGCUGCUGCCGCAGCACAGGGCAUCCGCCUCCUUUCCAAAUGGGCAA